ensembl:snRNA U6 U6 spliceosomal RNA
AUUCUGCUUGCUUUGGCAGAACAUACACUAAAAUUGGAAUGAUACAGAGAAGAUUAGCAUGGCCCCUAUGUAAGGAUGACACACAAAUUUGUGAAGUAUUCCAUAUUUCU